rnacentral:rRNA from 1 species
CACGUAGGGUGCGAGCGUUUGUCCGGAAUUAUUGGGCGUAAAGAGCUCGUAGGCGGUGUGUCGCGUCGGCCGUGAAAACCUGCAGCUUAACUGUGGGCGUGCGGUCGAUACGGGCAUCACUGGAGUUCGGCAGGGGAGACUGGAAUUCCUGGUGUAGCGGUGAAAUGCGCAGAUAUCAGGAGGAACACCAGCGGCGAAGGCGGCGCUCUGGGGCUGGAACUGACGCUGAGGAGCGAAAGCGUGGGGAGCGAACAGG